rnacentral:rRNA from 1 species
ACGGGAGGCAGCAGUGGGGAAUAUUGCACAAUGGGGGAAACCCUGAUGCAGCGACGCCGCGUGAGUGAAGAAGUAUUUCGGUAUGUAAAGCUCUAUCAGCAAGGAAGAAAAUGACGGUACUUGACUAAGAAGCCCCGGCUAACUACGUGCCAGCAGCCGCGGUAAUACGUAGGGGGCAAGCGUUAUCCGGAUUUACUGGGUGUAAAGGGAGCGUAGACGGUGAGGCAAGUCUGAAGUGAAAUGCAUGGGCUCAACCCAUGAACUGCUUUGGAAACUGUCUGACUAGAGUGCGGGAGAGGUAAGUGGAAUUCCUAGUGUAGCGGUGAAAUGCGUAGAUAUUAGGAGGAACACCAGUGGCGAAGGCGGCUUACUGGACUGUAACUGACGUUGAGGCUCGAAAGCGUGGGGAGCAAACAGGAUUAGAUACCCUGGUA